rnacentral:rRNA from 1 species
CGUUCACGGCGAAGUGAAGCGGCAACAGCUCAAAUUUGAAAUCUGGUCUUCGGGCCCGAGUUGUAAUUUGUAGAGGAAGCUUUUGGCGCGGUACCUUCUGAGUCCCCUGGAACGGGGCGCCAUAGAGGGUGAGAGCCCCGUAUAGUUGGAUACCAAGCCUGUGUAAAGCUCCUUCGACGAGUCGAGUAGUUUGGGAAUGCUGCUCAAAAUGGGAGGUAAAUUUCUUCUAAAGCUAAAUACCGGCCAGAGACCGAUAGCGCACAAGUAGAGUGAUCGAAAGAUGAAAAGCACUUUGAAAAGAGGGUUAAAUAGCACGUGAAAUUGUUGAAAGGGAAGCGCUUGUGACCAGACUUGCGCCGGGCUGAUCAUCCGGUGUUCUCACCGGUGCACUCUGCCCGGCUCAGGCCAGCAUCGGUUCUCGCGGGGGGACAAAGGUCCUGGGAACGUAGCUCCUCCGGGAGUGUUAUAGCCCAGGGCGUAAUGCCCCCGCGGGGACCGAGGUUCGCGCUCU